rnacentral:rRNA from 1 species
GACGAACGCUGGCGGCGUGCUUAACACAUGCAAGUCGAACGGAAAGGCCCUGCUUUUGUGGGGUGCUCGAGUGGCGAACGGGUGAGUAACACGUGAGUAACCUGCCCUUGACUUUGGGAUAACUUCAGGAAACUGGGGCUAAUACCGGAUAGGAGCUCCUGCUGCAUGGUGGGGGUUGGAAAGUUUCGGCGGUUGGGGAUGGACUCGCGGCUUAUCAGCUUGUUGGUGGGGUAGUGGCUUACCAAGGCUUUGACGGGUAGCCGGCCUGAGAGGGUGACCGGCCACAUGGGGACUGAGAUACGGCCCAGACUCCUACGGGAGGCAGCAGUGGGGAAUAUUGCAAAAGGGGCGGAAGCCGGAUGCAGCAACGCCGCGUGCGGGAUGACGGCCUUCGGGUUGAAAACCGCUUUCGCCUGUAACGAAGCGUGAGUGACGGUAAUGGGGAAAGAAGCACCGGCUAACUACGU